AAUUUUGUAGUUUAAUUAAAACGUUGAUUUGUGGAGUCAGAGAUUUUAUCCGUUCAAUAUUC
rnacentral:tRNA from 1 species